rnacentral:lncRNA from 1 species
CCUAUUCUUACCAGCCUGCUGUCUGCACUUCAUUUUCAUAACAGCUCAGUGGAAUGUGCUCAUGCCUUUGUUUGUCCCUCUUCAGAGAAAGGGAAAUUGCUACACAAAGAUUGACAAGAGAGGGUCCAGCCCAUUGUGGGUGGGGCCAUCCCUAGUCCGGUGGUCCUGGAUUCCAUAAGAAAGCAGACAGAACCAGCCAUGACGAGCAAGCCAACAAAAAUCCCCAGGAAGAAAUAAGCAGCAUCCCUCUCGAUGACCCCUGUGCCUAGAAUAUAGCAGACUCGUAAACACUUAUGAAAGGAAACUCAGUGUGACUUUUAGAUUGAAUUCUAAUUUCAAGACAACUCCUCAAACAAUUCGCCACAGAACAGACCAUUAGAGUUAUGUGAUAAGAUACCAUGAUCAGAAACAAUUUACAGAAAGAAGAGUCUUGGGUUCCAGAGAGAGUCCAUGAUGUCUGAGAGAGGCUUGGCAACAUGGGCCCAGAAAAGGAAGCUGAGAGAUUACAUCUUCAACUGCAAGCAUGGUACAGAGAGCAAACUGGAAGUGCAUUGAGGCUGUGAACUCUCGGAGACCUCCUAAAACGAUUUCCAUCCUCCAGCAAGGCCAUAAAUACCACAUCCCUCAUCAUGUCGUCAAAUGGGAAUCAAGUGCUUCAAUACAAAAGCCUAUGGAGGACAUUCAUAUUUAAACCACUGUAUUCAACAUGCCCAGAGCCUUCUUUAUUAGCUGCUUUCUAGAACUGCCACACUAUUGUUCACACACACACACACACACACACACACACACACACACACACACACCACAAUGUGUCUAUAUAUAUACAUGAAAGAGAAAACACUGUAAGACGGUUCUGGGGAUGGUGACACCUUCCUUUAAUUCCAGCACUUGGGAGGUAGAGGCAGGCAGCUCUCUGAGUUCAAGACUAUCCUGGUCUAUAUCCAGGACACCCAGGACUAUACAAAAAAAAAAAAAAAAAGAGGGAGUAGGGAGAGGUGAGGAGAGAACACAUUUAAAAGCCUUGAUUAAACAAUUUAGUUUCCUAAGUACAGUUUUCUAGUUUUAAUUAAUAUACAAAAAACAGACUAUCAAAAGUGGGUACAUUUAUAUCUGAUUUUCCAUCAGCACCAUAUAAAUGUUUUCAUCAUGUAUAGCAGGACUGCUUAUUUGAUACCCAAGUAGACACAGCUAAUGAGUGUAGAUAGAUAGAUAGAUAGAUAGAUAGAUAGAUAGAUAGGCAGAUAGAUAGAUAGAUAGAUAGAUAGAUAGAUAGAUAGAUAGAUAGAUAGAUAGAUAGGCAGGCAGGCAGGCAGGCAGGCAGGCAGGCAGGCAGGCAGGCAGGCAGAUAGAUAGAUAGAGAUAGGCAGAUAGAUAGGCAGAUAGAUAGAUAGAUAGAUAGAUAGAUAGAUAGAUAGAUAGAUAGAUAGGCAGAUAGAUAGAUAGAUAGAUAGAUAGAUAGAUAGAUAGAUAGAUAGAUAGAUAGAUAGGCAGGCAGGCAGGCAGGCAGGCAGGCAGGCAGGCAGAUAGAUAGAUAGAGAUAGGCAGAUAGAUAGGCAGAUAGAUAGAUAGAUAGAUAGAUAGAUAGAUAGAUAGAUAGAUAGAUAGAAAGAUAAUAGAUAGAUAGAUAGAUAGAUAGAUAGAUAGAUAGAUAGAUAGAUAGAUAGAUGUUUUUAGGACAUGCUGGUUUCUCUGAUGUAAGCUGUUUAUGAA